AGUGAGUGGGGGUUGAAGCUCCAGCUGCGAAGCCAGGUGAGUCACCUGUCGUCAUGUUUUGCAAGGAUUGCAAAGAAAAAUACAGAACGAACAAUGAUGAAGAGGUAAACAAACUCAUCAGUCACUUCCGACCUCUUCUGCUGUCUGCUGGAGUGGAUGUGGAGUUGAUCCCUGAUCAAUGGACAGUUCUCAAGACUGAACUCUACACAGCAGGAUUCAGUCAAGAAACCUUCGAGAAGACCUGGACUACUGUCAACAAAAUGCUUCGCCAUUGGUGUCCUGACAUGCUCGAUCUAAUUGAUGCUCUCCUCACCAUUCCUGCAACCACAGCUGACUGUGAAAGAGGCUUCAGUGUUAUGAAGCAGGUAAAAAAGUGACUGGCGCUCAUGCCUGAAAGGUGAGACCCUCUCUGACCUCCUAAAGACACAGUUGUGCUCACCCGACAUCAAAGACUUUGAUCCUACAAAAGCCAUUGACAUCUGGCAUGCUGACAGUUUGCGCUCUUGCAGGCCUGAGUUUGUGUGCAAACACGGAACAAAAGGAACUGAGGGUGGCUCGGAAUCAGAUGGAGAAAGUUCAGAGAGCUCUGCAGACAUUUAAUUCAGAAGAACGAUAAAGAUAGAUAGACGAAACUUGGAAAUUGAAUGAAUAAGAAAGGAAAUGUUUGAACUAUGUAUAUUGUUUUAUGUAUUGUACUUUCCGUACAUUGUACUUUCUGUGCAUGUGUAAUGCCAACAAUGUCAAUAAAUUGAUGAAAUGCA